ACCAUCUGGAGUGAAAUAGAUGUUGGGGACUCAGCUAAGCAGCCACUACAGGGAAAAAGGAAGGAAUCCACAUGUUCCUUCUAAGCCGCUGGGUGUUUCUCACACAUCCCCUCUUUAAAUUCUUGCAUCCACCCUCUAGGGGUACGCUCUUACCUUUUCUGGAUUAAUAAGAAAACAGAGGAUCUGGGAGGUAGCCACUGCCCAGGGACUCACAUCUCCACUGUGUUCCAAAGUCCCUGCUCUUUUUAUUACUCUACACUGCAGACUGAGAGUGAAGUGGAAGACAGAAGCUGUGCUCAGAGAGGGGAUUUUCAGUAUUAAAUAUCUUACAUGUGGCAACAUUUCUUUUGAAGUGCUGCAUGCUCGGUUGGCUUCAACGAAGACCCUCUAGGACUGAGGACUGUGAGAGCAACAGUUGAAAACAUCAUCAAAAACAGACUCCUCCAACAGGUGUCUGCCAAGACCAAGAGAGAGAGACACUUUUCCAGACUGCAGACUUGUGCUAGAAGGUGCCACGGAAGAGUAAAGUGGCCAGCAAUGUUACAGAUCACGCUGGACACCGAAGUAAAGACUGUGUGGAGUAGAGCCACAGCCAACCCUCAGUAGCCAUAUAGUAUGAACAAGGAAUGAACUUCUUUUGUUUGAAGAGAUUUGGAGGUCAUUUGUUACUACAGCAAAACUUCUCCCAUUCUGAUGAUGCCAUGGCAUACCUGAUGAGACCCUUUGAUCUCAAGAAAAGCUCUAAUUAAUUGGAGUGUGCCAGACAAAUGUUAGCCACUCACUUAUACAAACACCAAUGGAACAUAAAUAAUUUUCUUGAGUUUCUAUCAGCUUUGUCCUCUGGGGGUUCAGCUUUAUCUCCAAGCUUAUAAAGAGAUGACUAAAAAUUCCAGUUAUCGUAUCCAUACAAAAACAGGUCAUCUCUUUCUAUGUCUCUUUCAUAUAGAAUUAAAAAUUACCAGAAGCUCUGUAGAAGCUUCUAUAGCAUAUAAUGAUAAUGAUAAUGAAGAGCAUGGGCUGCAGAGUCACAGAAAUCUGAGUCCAAAUACUGACUGGGUGAUCUUUCGGCAAGGGACUUAAUCACUGUUUCUAUAUCUGUCAAAUGCAAAUAACAAUAGGAUCAUUGCCAAAAAUAAAUGAGUACAUACAAGGGUUUUGGACCAGUGUCUGGUACAUAGAACAUACUUUGUGCAUGUUAGUAGUGGACAUCUGUCAUGUUCUUGCUCUCCCAUCUUAUGACUUUUCAUAGUAAUCUUCUAAUAUCAUGAAUCCCACCUUCACCUCCCUUGCAGCAAAUUUAUCCAUGGCCAACUUUCACCCACAAUUACAUAGGGAAGGGAAUUCUGGGAAGCAUAGUUCCAGCUUAGCCAGAUAGACAGCUAUCACGGGCUGGAAAGGUAGAUCAUGGCAGACUGUGCAGCCAGGCUAAGGAUUCGGGUGGGGGCACAGAGUAAAGUCUCAGAAAAUUGUUUUCUUUUUCUUCCCUCCUCCUCCUCCUCCUCCUCCUUUAUAUAUACAGAGAGUGCACACAAGCGGGGAAGGAAGGCAGAGGGAGAGAGAGAGAGAAUCUUAAGCAGGUUCCAUUCUCAGGACAAAGCCUGACGUGGGCUUGAUUCCACAACCUUGGGAUUGUGAUCUGAGGCAAAAUAAGGAGUCAGAUGCUCAACUGUUUUCUUUUUAAGUAGAUAUGGCUUGACCAGCUUUGCAUUUAAAAAGACCUAUUAGGUACCAGGGUGGAUAAUGAUUGGUGGUGGGAGACAGGAAGCAGGAAGAACCAAUUGUUGCAAUAUUUUGUAAUUUCUAAGGUACUGCUUUAAAUCCUGUGGAACAAGGUGAGAUAAGAAUGCACAAGCAAACAAUUGCUAGAGUAAGUUUAAUUCUUUUUUUAAUGUUUAUUUUUCAGAGAGAGGAGAGAGAGAGAGAGAGAGAGAGAGAGAGAGAGCAGGGGAGGGGCAGAGAGAGAGGGAGACACAGAAUCUGAAGCAGGCUACAGCUUCCAGCUGUCAGUACAGAGCCUGACACAGGGCUAGAACUCACGAACCAUGAGAUCAUGACCGAGGCCGAAGUGAGAUGUUUAACCAACUGAGCCACCCCGGCGCCCCAGGGUAAUUUUAGUUCUGUCUGUAAUGCAAUAUAAAAAAUAAAAUACAGGUACACACACCAGAUUAAGAAACUUCUUUUUUUCCCCAUAGACGUUCAGUCCAUUCCAUUAGUUUCCCAAAAUGUGGUGUUGUUAUUAAUUUAAUUCUGGGUUUUUCCCAUUAAACAAUGUAAGUGUGUCAAAUGAUCAAAAUAAUUCACUCACAUUUUCCUCCUCACGCACAGUGUAGAUGUAUGCUAUGAAAGACAAUGAAUCCACUCAAUUAGAACCAAAGAGCUUUCUGACUAAGCUUUAGAUUUGUGUGUCAGUUUUAGUUCCAAAAAACGCAUUAGGAAGUAAGAAAGAAGGAAACACUCACCUCGAGAAACAAGCCUCUGCACUAACCACCCAGGUAUUCCCCUCUCUCUCCCAGCCUUCCUUGUGAUUGCUGGGGCUUGGGUGUUCAGUGCUGGCUGAUGGGCUGUGAGCAGAUGUGAUGUGUCCCACAUCUGGGCUGGGGCAGCGUGGAGCUGGGGUGCCUCCUUCAGUUUUUUAUUUUUAUUUUUUAAUUUUUUUUCAAUGUUUACUUAUUUUUGAGACAGAGAGACAGAGCAUGAACAGGGGAGGGGCAGAGAGAGAGAGACACAGAAUCCGAAACAGGCUGCAGGCUCUGAGCGGUCAGCACAGAGCCUGACGCGGGGCUCGAACUCACGGGCUGUGAGAUCAUGACCUGAGCCGAAGUCGGAUGCUUAACCGACCGAGCCACCCAGGCGCCCCAAGUUUUUUAUUACCUACUGUGGUGACUUGAAGGCAACAGACAACAGAGCCACAAGAUGAGGAGGGUUGUCUGACCAGGAUGGGGCUUCAUGUGAAUAGAAAAAUGGGUUUUUAUUAUGAAAAAUAAAUUGGGGAUUUGUUACCUUGGCAUGGCCUAGCAUAGCCUGGCUAAUACACCUGGCGAAGUCAGUGUCAGGUACUUUCACACCUUUUCUCCUCAAUGAGCCACCCCAAUGAGCCUGUGACAAACAUAGGGCAUGGGAAGGAGCUUACCUAUGCACGCAGUUUGCACUGAUGGAACUUGAACCAACAGGUAUGGAUCCAAAGCCCAUGAGUUUUCUAUCCGACCAUACAAUAGCACAUCCUAUUCCAACUACAGAAUCUAAAGGAUCUGGCCAUGGGUGGACAAGAAGCAUUGACUUGUUGAAGUAUUGAGAGGGACACAAAGUUCUAGCUGGUCCAAGGUCCUCAU